rnacentral:tRNA from 1 species
GAGGGUAUAGCUCAAGUGGUAGAGCGCAUGCUUAGCAUGUGUGAGGUCCUGGGCUCAGUUCCCAGAACCUCCA